AAAACUGUCUUUUGUUGCAAAGCCCACAAAUAUAUGUCUUAGAAAAGUUGGCUUGAGCUGGGUACUCCAUUAGAAUGUUUCUGAGAGUCAAUGAUAAAUAAAGAUUCUAUGCUCGUUCUUCCUUCUUUUCUAUAUUUCUGAAUUUACUUUAGGACACCGAUUGGAAAUGCUAAGCUAGAACUUAAUCACGAUGUAUGGCAGGUGCAUCACUGGGUGAAG
rnacentral:misc_RNA from 1 species